rnacentral:rRNA from 1 species
GCAGCCAUGCCGCGUGUGUGAAGAAGGCUUCGGGUUGUAAAGCACUUUCAGCGAGGAGGAAAGCUUAAGCGUUAAUAGCGUUUAGGUGUGACGUUACUCGCAGAAGAAGGACCGGCUAACUUCGUGCCAGCAGCCGCGGUAAUACGAGGGGUCCAAGCGUUAAUCGGAAUUACUGGGCGUAAAGCGUACGCAGGCGGUUUGUUAAGCGAGAUGUGAAAGCCCCGGGCUCAACCUGGGAAUUGCAUUUCGAACUGGCAGACUAGAGUCUUGUAGAGGGGGGUAGAAUUUCAGGUGUAGCGGUGAAAUGCGUAGAGAUCUGAAGGAAUACCGGUGGCGAAGGCGGCCCCCUGGACAAAGACUGACGBUCAGGUACGAAAGCGUGGGGAGCAAACAGGAUUAGAUACCCUGGUAGUCCACGCCGUAAACGAUGUCUACUCGGAAUUUGGUGYCUUGAACACUGGGCUCCCAACUAACGCAUUAAGUAGA